AGCUCCAAUAGCGUAUAUUAAAGUUGUUGCAGUUAAAAAGCUCGUAGUUGGAUUUCUGGUGGGAGGGAUCGGUACUUCAUUCUUUGUUGUGACUUGAAUCCUCUCCGGCCAUCCUUGGGUGGAUCUUGUCUGGCAUUAAGUUGUCAGUCAGGGGAUGCCCAUCGUUUACUGUGAAAAAAUUAGAGUGUUCAAAGCAGGCUUAUGCCGUUGAAUAUAUUAGCAUGGAAUAAUAAGAUAGGGCCCUGGUACUAUUUUGUUGGUUUGCGUACCGAGGUAAUGAUUAAUAGGGACAGUUGGGGGUAUUUGUAUUCAGUAUUCAGUGGUGAAAUACUUAGACCUACGGAAGACAAACUACUGCGAAAGCAUUUACCAAGGAUGUUUUCU
rnacentral:rRNA from 1 species